UACAGAGGUCUCAAGCGUUGUUCGGAUUCAUUGGGCGUAAAGGGCGCGUAGGCGGCGUGGUAAGUCAACUUGUGAAAUCUCCGGGCUUAACUCGGAACGGUCAAGUGAUACUGCUGUGCUAGAGUGCGGAAGGGGCAACUGGAAUUCUUGGUGUAGCGGUGAAAUGCGUAGAUAUCAAGAGGAACACCUGCGGCGAAGGCGGGUAGCUGGGCCGAACACUGACGCUGAUGCGCGAAAGCCAGGGUAGCAAACGGG
rnacentral:rRNA from 1 species